rnacentral:rRNA from 1 species
UGAAUACGAGAUGCUACGGCGUCGAAGCAGUCUAUGUCAUACUUCCAAGAAAAGCUUGCACUGUCAUAAACAAAUAAUGCCUGUACCAUAACCGACACAGGUGGGUAGGUAGAGUAUACUAAGGGGCGCGAGAUAACUCUCUCUAAGGAACUCGGCAAAAUGACUCCGUAACUUCGGGAGAAGGAGUGCCUUAUUUAUAAGGUUGCAAUAACAAGACCCAAGCAACUGUUUAUCAAAAACACAGGUCUCCGCUAAGUCGUAAGACGAUGUAUGGGGGCUGACGCCUGCCCAGUGCCAGAAGGUUAAUGAAGUUGGUUAGCAUUAGCGAAGCUGAUGACUGAAGCCCUGGUGAACGGCGGCCGUAACAAUAACGGUCCUAAGGUAGCGAAAUUCCUUGUCGGGUAAGUUCCGACCCGCACGAAAGGCGUAAUGAUUUGGGUACUGUCUCAGAGAGGGACUCGGUGAAAUAGACUUGUCUGUGGAGAUGCGGACUACCUGCACCUGGACAGAAAGACCCUAUGAAGCUUUACUGUAACCUGAAAUUGAAAUUGGACUUUAUUUGCGCAGUAUAGGUGGGAGGCUUUGAAGAUAUUCUUGCGGGAAUGUUGGAGCCAUCAGUGAGAUACCACUCUUGUAAUGUUAGAUUUCUAACUUUGUAUCAUUAUCUGGUCAAAGAACAGUUUCAGGCGGGCAGUUUGACUGGGGCGGUCGCCUCCUAAACGGUAACGGAGGCGCACAAAGGUUUCCUCUGAACGGGUAGAAAUCGUAUCUAGAGUGUAAAGGCAUAAGGAAGCUUGACUGUGAGACCUACAAGUCGAGCAGGGACGAAAGUCGGUCUUAGUGAUCUGACGGUGCUGAGUGGAAAGGCCGUCACUCAACGGAUAAAAGUUACUCUAGGAUAACAGGCUGAUCUCCCCCAAGAGUUCACAUCGAUGGGGAGGUUUGGCACCUCGAUGUCGGCUCAUCGCAUCCUGGGGCGGUAGUACGUCCCAAGGGUUGGGCUGUUCGCCCAUGAAAGCGGUACGCGAGCUGGGUUCAGAACGUCGUGAGACAGUUCGGUCCAUAUCCGGUGUAGGCGUUAGAAUAUUGAGAGGAGCCUUCUCUAGUACGAGAGGACCGAGAAGGACACACCUCUGGUGUACCAGUUAUCGUGCCAACGGUAAACGCUGGGUAGCUAUGUGUGGAGCGGAUAACCGCCGAAAGCAUCUAAGUGGGAAGCCCACCUCAAGAUAAG